UGAAGUCAGUCAGCUUGAAAGAAUGUGGUGGACAUUAGAGAAGACUCUUUGGUAUUUCAGACUCCAUCUCUACCAAAAUCGAGGAACAACUGCUGCUGCGGCUUCUAGCUACAAAAACAGAUAUGCUACUUUGCUUUCAUCUGGAAUCUUGUCAGCUGAAUGAAAAAGAGAAGGGGUUUUCACUUGAGCCAUAGAAUCAAAACAGGGCAACAGCUAGGUAAGAGCCAUUCUUCGUAAUACCCAGGAUACCAUAG
rnacentral:lncRNA from 1 species